UUACGACCAUAUCACGUUGAAACACCGGUUUUCGUAUGAUCACUGAUGUUAAGCAAAGUUGUGCCUGGUCGCUACCUAAAUGGGUGACCGAUUGGGAAUACCAGGUGUUGUC